ensembl:lncRNA
GCCCAGCCUGGGCGGGUCUCUGGUGGGUCCUGAGAAAUGGAUGGGCUGUGAGGUUCAGGAGGAACUUACCAUCUGGGGAAGCAUUGUCUGCGAGGAGGAAGGCUGACCUUGCACAGAGAGGGACUCGAGAGGAUGGGUCAGCGUUGGGUGGUGACGGCAGCAGGCUGUGCUAUUGAUGUGCUGUGCUGUUUAAUGCUGCUGCUGUGUCUGGGCCUGGUGCGGCUCUAGCUCACGGGGUCCUGAGCCCCCCAUUAAUGAUUGCUCCUCCAUGCCACCGUCAGGGUUCUAGUUGCCCCAUCUGUCAGCACGUCUCUCUUCUGUGGGAGGGGACAGCCCCCUGUGCCCCGUUACCUGGCAUGCAGUAGGUGCUUAAUAAGUGCAGGCUAAAAAGAGCAUGCCUCCCUGGAGGCCUGAGGAGCCCUGGACUCAGCGUAGGGCCUGGCUGGCUCAGGACCCUCCCAGCUUCCCUGGCAGGGGCAGGCAGAGACCCUCAGCUGUGGGUGACCACCCUGGGCCUGGGGCAGACGCCACCCCCUCCCAGCCCAGGCCGAUUUCGGGGCCUUUGCACAAGUCAGGCCUGGAGCUGCGGACACCGCCCUCUGCCUUCUGGGUUGGUCGGGCAGUUGGUCAGGAUGGCUGGUUGAAGACUGCAGGGAGCCGAUGUGUCACCUGCCAUAUAUUUGAGCAGCAGUAUUGGGGGCCCCCCGGAAACAUAUCUUAUUUGGGGGCUGAUUGAGCACUUGUGUCCCAGGACCUUCUGUAGAGGCCUGGGGACGUUUAGCGAGUGAUGAGCAGCCCCUGCCUCAGUGAGCACCCCCACGCAGCUCCCGGUGUCCCAGCCUCUCCAGCAGGCGGGUGGGCGCCAGCACGUCCAUGCAUAGGUGAGGCUGGGGCUCAGGGCUGCCCCAGACAUGCUGCUCGAAUGAGUGAGGAGUGAGGCGCCUCUCAGCACGCGUGGCCACACACACCCCGACGUUUACCCUCGUCUGUUCCACGUCUCCUUUGUAAAAUUACAGCCAGCGACCAUGUUUGAACAAAGAGAAAGGCAAAGUAGAGCAAUCCUUUCGACUCCAUGGUGACAACUCGGGGAAAAACAUGAUUACGGUCUCUGUUAAAAAAGAAACUAUCUCUUCAAGGCAGGCGGAAGCGCAUGCUAGGCCAGGAGGAACCGCACAUCUGCCACAGCUCGCCCACUGUCAGCGGGGCGUUUCCUGUUUUUGGGCUGAGGCGGAGGCUGGCCCGCUGUGCCUGGGCCGCCCGCUGACAGUGAGGGGUGCACGGAGGCCCGGGGGCCUCGGGCUCUGGUUGGACAACUUUGUACGCCACUGAAGUGCAAACAUCCGUUCAGAGUGCUUCUCAUCUGACUUUUUUGUUGUUGCACUUUUUAUUUUGAGACAGUUCACAGGGAGUUGUAAGAAAUCAUACAGAAAGAUCCCGUGUACCUUUCACCCAGUUUCCCCCGUUGGUAACGUCUUGCAAAACUACUGCGCAGUGUGUGUGGGGGUGUUGACACUGAUGUGGUCAAAACACAGAACCAGCACCACGAGGCUCCCUCCUGCUUUCUUUUAACAAACAAAUUUGAUGUAUUUUAAAAAUUGCAAUGAAAUAUAUAUUACGUAAGAUUUACCAUUUAACCAUUUGUAAGUGUACAACUCAGUGGCCUUAAGCACAUUCACGUUAAUGUGCAACCAUCACCACCAUCCGUCUCCAGAACUUUUAUGUCAUCUCAGUAGGAACUCUGUCCCCAUUGAGCGCUAACUCCUCAUCUCGCUCCCCCAGCCCCUGAACCUCUGUCCUACUUUCUGCCCCCUGACUCCUCGAGGGACCCGAGCUCCCUUCUGGGGAAAUGGUGGGGUACGUGGGGCUGGCCUGGUGGCCCGGCCGUCACCAGCAAUGACUGUUAAUAUGGCUCUUGAUCAGCCUUUUUCUUGUAAAAGUGACACGUGAUGUUACAAAAACUCACGCAGUGUGGAACAGACCACAGCAGAAAGUGGAAGUUUGUUGUUGGCGAGAGCUCUCCACACCCACCCUGAGGCACAGGCACCCGGAAUUUUUCGGGACACAGAGAAACAUACACACGCAGACAUGCUUUUUUUUUUUUUUUUUUUUCAACGCAUCACAGGUUGAGCUUCUCUGUCCCCUUUCAAGCCUCUCUGCCUCCCUGCCCUCAGGGCUGGGGUGGGGGUGUGUGUGGACGCAGUUGGUGGUGUGGGGGUCCCAGAUCUUUUAGCAAAUCACCUUACCAGAGCUGUCUCCCGGGGGUCAACAUUAGCGAGAGAAAGAGCACUGGGUUCGUCUUGUGGCUGCUCCACCUGGAGAACCCCAACAGCGGCCAGCACCUUGCAGUCACCACCAUGCUGCACCUGCGCCCCGAGAAGUUGGGACGCUGCCCCAUCACAUUGUAUAUUCUUCGUUGUGGAUUCUUCUAGUUGUGGCAUGUGGGACGCUGCCUCAGCGUGGUUUGAUGAGCAGUGCCAUGUCCGCGCCCAGGAUUCGAACCAACGAAACACUGGGCCGCCUGCAGCGGAGCGCGCGAACUUAACCACUCGGCCACGGAGCCAGCCCCUUGUUGGAGACUCUUUGCACUGAAUUGUGUCCCCCAAAUUCAUAUAUUGAAGACCUGACCCCCAGGGUGACCGAAUUUGGAGGCAGGGCUGUCAGGAGGUCGUUACGGUUAAAUGAGGUCGUAAGCCUGGGGCCCUGACCCGGUAGGACUUCAGAAGAGAAAGAGACAUCAGGAAUGCUGGUGCACAGAGAAAAGGCCGCGUGAGGACACUGGGAGAAGAUGGCCAUCUGCGGGCCAAGGAGGGAGGCCUCAGGAGACCAGCCAGCCUGCACCUUGAUCUCAGCCUUCCAGCCUCCAACUGAGAGAAGUAAAUUUCUGUUGUUUAGGCCGCCCAGGCCAGGGGACAUUGGCAUGGCAGCCCUCGGUGACCCACACAAGCCCCUUCCAGGCAGUCCCCACCCCUGGUCCAGGCAUGCGUGACCUGCUUUCUCUGCCUCUGCCUUGGACCUGCCUGUUCCAGACUUUCACAUCAACGCAGUCACACUCUGUCGCUCCUUGGGGUCCGGCCUCUUCACUCAGCAUAAUGACCGCGAGGUCCCUCCAUGACGCUGUGUAUCAAUAUCACUCUUUCUUAUCACUGAGUUGUAUCCCGUUUUAUGACUAUGCCAUCAUAUGUGUAUCCAUUCACCUGUUCAUGGUGUCUGGGUGGCUGCCGGUUCUUGGUUAAUGUGCGUAAAGCUGCUAUGAAAGUCUGUAAACAGCUUUUGGUGUGGACGUAUAUUUUCCUUUGUCUAGGUUAUUUACCUAGGAGUAGGAAUGGCUGGGUCAGAUGGAAAGCGUGUGGUUAACUUUGUAAGCGUUUGCCAAACCGUCAUCCAAAGUGGUCGUACCACUUUCCAUUCCCACCAGCAGUGUCAACAGAUCCAGCAACGCCAUAUCCUCCUCAAUACCUGAUAUGGUCAGACUUUACCCUUAGCCACUCUGAUAGCUGUGAAGUGGUAUCUCCUUGUCAUUUUAAUUUGCAUUUCCCUGUUGACUAAUGAUGCUGAGCAUCUUUGCAUGUGCCGUCUGUGUGUCUUCUUUGGGGAAGGAUCUGUUCAAAAAUCUUGACCAUUAAAAGAAUAUUGAGUUGUUUGUCUUCUUACUGAGUUGUAAGAAAUUUUUAAAAAAUAUAUCUUUUGGGCAAGACAUGUGUGUUGUGGAUAUUUUCCCCAGCAGGUGGUUUGCCUUCUCAUUUCCUUAAUAUCAAACUUUGAAGAGCAAAGUCUUUAAUUUGGAUGAAGUCCAAUUUAUCUGUUUUUCUGUGAUGGUUUAUGUCUUUCAUGUCCUCUCUAAGAAAUCUUUGCCCACUUCAAGGUCACAAAGAUUUUCUCCUAUGUUUUCUACCAGAAGUUUAAUAAUUUUAGCUUUUACAUUUAGGCCUAUGGUCCCUUUGGGCUACUUUUUGCUCGUGGUGAGGGUAAAGGCUGAGCUUCAUUUUUGCCGCCUUGAUUCUCCCUGUUCCAGCAACUGUUGCCUACAAAGAUUACCUUUCCCCUGUGGGAUUACUGUGGCGCCUCUGACAACACUCUGGUGAUCACACACGAGCGGGUCUGUUUGUGGACUCCGUCUCUUCCGUCUCGUCGACCAGUUGGUACUCCUCCUGCCUACACCAUCUGGGCUGGAUCCACGAGGCUUGCAGCGCACAUCCUUCAGCGCUGCUCUUCCUUUUCAAAAUUGUUUUGGCCACGAUAACUCCUUUCUGUUUUCACAUGAGUGUAAAAAAUCAGCGUAUCAAUUUCCACAAACAAACCUGCUGCAGUUUGAUUGGGAUUACAUCGAUCUCUGGUUACUUGGGGGAGAACUGACAUCUUGCUGAAACCCAGUCUUCCACUUUGUGAGCAUCAUACCUUUCCAUUUACGGGGUCCUCUGUCCCCUCCCUCGGCAGGGCCUGCACAGGCCUGGACACAUUCUGUUGAAUUUGUCCCAGAUGCUUCAUGUUUUUAAUGCGAGUGUGUUCUUGCUCUUUUAAAUUUCAAAAACCCAUCUGUAUUUUCUAAACUGUUGGCCUUGUGUCCUGUGACGUCACUAAAUAAGCUGUGUAGGCCACUUAGCCUUUCUGUAGACAUUGUAGAACUUUUAUAUAUGUGGUCACGUUGUCUGCGAAGAAGCAAUGUUUCCCUUCCGCUCCCAUCGCCGCGCCUUCUCUUUCUUUUUCUUGCCGCGUUGCCCUUUCUGAGACUCCAGUGCAGUGUUGUGCGGAAGGGGAUGAGUGGGCAUCCCUGCCUGGUCCUGUUCUUGGGGGAGAGCACGCCGUCUUCACAAUCGACUGAGACGUCGGCUGUGGGAGUCUCUCAGCUGCCUCUGCAGAUUUGGGGGCUCUGUUUCUGCACAGCCCCCGGCCUCUAGAACCCUGCAAUCUCCAAUCGCUGUCCUCUUCUUUUGGCUGCUGUCUCUUUCUGUGUACAGUAUCCUUUGCACGUCAGCCUACAGUUUUGGUUUUGCAUGCAGUAAGACAAUGUCUGCAUUUACCUGGAGGAUUGAGACCAUUUCCAUUCCAUGUAGUUUCCUGUGUGGUUGGGUUUGGGUCCAUAUUUUGAUAAUUAUUUGCUGUUCUUUGUUUCUUGUUUCCUCCUUUAUGCCUUCUUCUUGACGAAUUGAGUGUUUUUUGGGUAUUUCAUUCAUCUGCACUGUGGGCUUAUUUGCUACACAUCUUCAUUUUAUUUAUCAGCGGCUGCUCUAGGGCUAACAAUAUGCACCUGUCCUCACCUCCCACUAUGACCCGCUUGACAGACCAUGAAAAGCACCUUACACAGUCCACUCACGUUUCCCUGCCCCAGGCUUCUUGCUCUUAUUGUCAUGGAUUUUACUUCCACGUGCUGAGACCAUGACAGCACAUUGUUAUUUUUCUUUAAGCUUUCUAUUAUUUUUAAAAGAAAUUUUAAAAAUGAGAAAAAGAUGUCUCAUAUUUACUGACAUAUUUACCAUUUCUUUCACUCUCCAUUCCUUUGAGUAGAGAUGCGUUUUCAUCGGGUACCGACUUCC